UAUUAAACAGUGUCGGUGCACAAAGAACUUUGAAUUCUUAAGAAGGGUUAUACCCUUUUAAUAA
rnacentral:tRNA from 1 species